UCAAGGCACAUAGCAAUCGCUGUACUUGACCCUGAACCUUAAUCAUUAAUCUUGUUGAGAUGAAAAGUAUCCAGGGGUGACACAGGAUAAGGUAAGUACUGCUGAGUACUGUUUUAUAAAGUGAGUGGACUCUGCAGAAUAUCUGGCAAUGCCCCAGAAGGGAUGAAGAUGGAAGUCCUGCCAACCCUUUGCUUUCAACCAUUGAGAAAGGCUUCCAUAUGUCGAGAGAAGUUGCUAGAAGUCUUAGAAACUUGCUGCUCUCACCCCAAAGUGACUUUUAACAGCCUGGGAAAUGCUGCAACAUGAAACACCAAUCAAAGGUAAGAAGUGUGCAUCCCAGACUCAGGACUCCUCCAGUGUGCAUGUUCGUGCCUCGGAUCUCGAGGGCUCCAGUUCGGUGUCAUCGUCCCCGGCUUCUCUUCUGAAUUUCAAGGCCCAUUUUAUACCCAGCAUGUGGUCUGCUUGGCUGAACACAGUGUGUUGUGGAAUGUGGCAGGACCCUUGCCCAGCAAGGACUAUGCCCUUGCCAGACUCGGCCUCCAACUUCUUCCUUCAAUUUCAAACUAGGUUUGGAAACAGAGGAAGCGAUGGUGGCUUUGUGAAUUGAGCUGUUCUUCCGACACCUAGUGACAAAGCAAAGAACUUCAGUUCCAGAAAUGACC